rnacentral:misc_RNA from 1 species
UUCUAUCAGAAAAUAGAACUAAGAAUCACUAUAACAACUCCUGCAAUUCUUGCCCAUUUUUCAAAAAUUGAAAUCCAUAAGUUAUCAUGGCUCCCGUGUUGUCUACCAUUCUCCUGUUCUUUUAUGUACUCUCUGCUGUCGAAGGAGCUGAACAGGAACUUCCUGGCAGGAUAAUUCUAGGUUCUUCACUCUCUCCAACAUCUCAUCCUCCUUCAUGGUUCUCCC